rnacentral:rRNA from 1 species
CAAUAGCGUAUAUUAAAGUUGUUGCAGUUAAAAAGCUCGUAGUUGGAUUUGUGGCGUACGGUGGGUUCCGGGCACUUGUUGUCUGAGUAACUUGCUGUUGCCAUCCUUGGGUGGAACCUGUGUGGCAUUAGGUUGUCGUGCAGGGGAUGCCCAUCAUUUACUGUGAAAAAAUUAGAGUGUUCAAAGCAGGCUUAUGCCGUUGAAUAUAUUAGCAUGGAAUAAUGAGAUAGGACUUUUUUGCUAUUUUGUUGGUUUGCGCAAAGAGGUAAUGAUUAAUAGGGACAGUUGGGGGUAUUCGUAUUCCAUUGUCAGAGGUGAAAUUCUUGGAUUUUUGGGAGACGAACUACUGCGAAAGCAUUUACCAAGGAUGUUUUCAUUAA